CUGGCUCAGGAUGAACGCUAGCGACAGGCUUAACACAUGCAAGUCGAGGGGCAGCGGUGGUGAAGGCUUGCCUUUACCAGCCGGCGACCGGCGCACGGGUGAGUAACACGUAUGCAACCUGCCUGCCACAGCCGGAUAAUCGGGAGAAAUUCCGUCUAAUACGGCAUAAUGCAUCGACGGGACAUCCUGUUGGUGCCAAAGGUUGAUUCCGGUGGCGGAUGGGCAUGCGUCGCAUUAGUUAGUUGGCGGUGUAACGGACCACCAAGACGACGAUGCGUAGGGGUUCUGAGAGGAAGGUCCCCCACACUGGUACUGAGACACGGACCAGACUCCUACGGGAGGCAGCAGUGAGGAAUAUUGGUCAAUGGGCGGGAGCCUGAACCAGCCAAGUCGCGUGAGGGAUGACGGUCCUAUGGGUUGUAAACCUCUUUUGCCGGGGAGCAAAGUGCCGCACGUGUGCGGUUUGGAGAGUACCCGGAGAAAAAGCAUCGGCUAACUCCGUGCCAGCAGCCGCGGUAAUACGGAGGAUGCGAGCGUUAUCCGGAUUUAUUGGGUUUAAAGGGUGCGUAGGCGGACGCUUAAGUCAGCGGUAAAAUUGCGGGGCUCAACCUCGUCGAGCCGUUGAAACUGGGUGCCUUGAGUGGGCGAGAAGUACGCGGAAUGCGUGGUGUAGCGGUGAAAUGCAUAGAUAUCACGCAGAACUCCGGUUGCGAAGGCAGCGUACCGGCGCCCUACUGACGCUGAAGCACGAAGGCGUGGGUAUCGAACAGGAUUAGAUACCCUGGUAGUCCACGCAGUAAACGAUGAAUGCUAGUUGUCCGGGGCGAUUGAGUUCUGGGUGACACAGCGAAAGCGUUAAGCAUUCCACCUGGGGAGUACGCCGGCAACGGUGAAACUCAAAGGAAUUGACGGGGGCCUGCACAAGCGGAGGAACAUGUGGUUUAAUUCGAUGAUACGCGAGGAACCUUUCCCGGGCUCAAACGCAGGAGGGAUGUUUUUGAAAGGAGGCAGCCAGCAAUGGUCUCCUGCGAGGUGCUGCAUGGUUGUCGUCAGCUCGUGCCGUGAGGUGUCGGCUUAAGUGCCAUAACGAGCGCAACCCCUACCUACAGUUGCCAUCGCGUGAUGGCGGGCACUCUGUGGGGACUGCCUGUGCAAGCAGUGAGGAAGGCGGGGAUGACGUCAAAUCAGCACGGCCCUUACGUCCGGGGCGACACACGUGUUACAAUGGCAGGUACAGCGGGAAGCCACCCGGCGACGGGGCGCGGAACCCGAAAACCUGUCUCAGUUCGGAUUGGAGUCUGCAACCCGACUCCAUGAAGCUGGAUUCGCUAGUAAUCGCGCAUCAGCCACGGCGCGGUGAAUACGUUCCCGGGCCUUGUACACACCGCCCGUCAAGCCAUGGAAGCACGGGGGUGCCUGAAGUGCGUGACCGCAAGGAGCGCCCUAGGGUAAAACCGGUGACUGGGGAUAAGUCGUAACAAGGU
rnacentral:rRNA from 1 species